GUUUGAUGUUGGUGGUUAUCCUCGUUUGAAAUGAAUUGAAUGGUGGGUUAGCGUUUGGUUAGGUAAUAAAUAGAGGUUUAGGUGGUUAGAUAGAAAUGAGAUUUUGGUUGUCUUGGGUAAUAAAUACAACCUUGUGUGAUAUGAAAAGUCUUGUGUGAUGAAUGGGUUGGAUAAACGUCUUCUCGGUUUGGUUGGAUGUGAUCAAUGCGAUUCCAGCAUCUGUUCUCUCUAUAAAAAAAAUUGUCUUCUCCUCUAUCUUGAAUGCGUAAAAACCUUACCUUGUCCUCUUUCUUCUCUUCUCUCUUUCUCAUCUCUGAUAAUUUCUUUCUGUCUUCCUUGAGGUUGCUUCCGAAAUGGAUUCUUAUCCAUUCUCGCAAUCCUCUAAAUUUGUUGAGCUAUUAAAUAGUCAACAAAGCAUCUUCUUUGGCAACAAUGACGACAUUGUUUCACUGUCUUCAUCACAAUCUCCGUCUGUAGGCAAUCUUGGAACCGAAGAUGGUGGAGAGACUGGUACACAGCGUAGAGAACGGCGGAAGUGGACGCCUAAGGAUGACAUUGUGCUCAUUAGCUCAUGGCUUAACACAAGUAAAGAUCCAGUUGUGAGCAAUGAACAAAGGUCAGACGCUUUCUGGACAAGAGUAGCGGCUUACUUUGCGGCAAGUCGUCAAGAUGGUGGAUGUGACCAGAGAGAAUCUAGGCAUUGCAAGCAACGUUGGCACCGGAUCAAUGAUCUCGUGUGCAAGUUCGCUGGAGCCUACGCAGCUGCAAGCAGGGAGAAGACGAGCGGGCAAAAUGAGAAUGAUGUGCUGAAACAAGCACAUCAGAUAUUCUACACUAACCACAAGCAGAAAUUCCUCCUUGAACAUGCCUGGAAAGAGCUGAGGAACGACCAAAAGUGGUGUGAGCAAGCGUCUGCUAAAACCGAAGGAAGCUGCAAAAAAAGAAAGGCUGAGGAUGGUGCUGGUUCUUCAAGCUCCCAAGCAACUGAAAUGAAGCGUCCAGCGGGUGUUAAAGCCGCCAAGGCUAGUGGCAAGAAGACUGUGGCUGAGGAGAAUGCGAUGAAGGAGUUUCACAGCAUGUUGUCAUUAAAACAACAGGAUCUCGCCGUGAAGGACCGCAUGUCUAAGAUGAGCCUACUGGAAAGUCUGAUAGCCAAAAAAGAUCCCCUUGUCGAGUACGAAGAAGCCCUGAAGAAGAAGCUGGUUGAUGAGUUGAUGUUGUCUUAAGUUCCAUGGCUCUGUGUUCUUGAUGUUUCAUCUGUUGUUCUCUUUUUAUUAGUAUCUGGUUGUGUCUGAAUGCUCUUGAUGUUGAUGUUGUCUUAAGUAAAAUGUUGUUGUUAUGUUCUUGUUAUGGUUUGAUCUUGUAAUGGAUUUAAAGUUUAAGUUAAAUGUUGUUGUUAUGUGUUCUCAUUCGGUUAACUGCGCUUGAUCUUGUUAUGGUUUUAAAAUUUAAAAUGUUGUUGCACUUUGAUCUUGUUAUCGUUUGAUCUUGACGCGCUUUGAUCUUGGCAUGGUUUUAAUGUUCUUUUUCAUCUUGCAGGUCACGGGUGAGACCAUGUGAGAUGACAGCGUAGAAGACAGAGGUCACGGGUGGGAGACAGAGGUCACGGGUGAGAGACAGAGUUUGUCUUCUUGUUUGUAAAGUAAACUGAGAUGUCUGUAAAGGUCUGUAGAGGUCUGUAGAGGUCACAAGAGUUUGUAUUUUUGUUUCACGGUUUUGAUGUCUGUAGAGGUCACGACUGUGUAAAGAACACUUAUAAAUUGCAGUAUGCAAACUCUCAUUCUCAACAUUCUCAUUCAAGGGUUUUAACCAACAAUCUCAUCCCGCUUCAUUCAACCUUCCAUCUCUUCUAGUAAACCUAUCGUCCUUCUCCUCUAAACCCAACACAACCCAAUCUUGUAACGCAAGCUUCCAUCUCUUGUAAACCCAAUCUUUUAUCUCUCUCUAAACCCAACCCAACCCAAGCUUGUAAACCUAAUAUUUUAUCUCUCUCUAAACCCAACCCAACACAAUCGUUUCUUUCACAAAACCAAAUACAUAUAUAAUCAUUUCAUGGCCUCUUCUUCUCAAAACCCAUUCGACGAGUCAAUUGAUGAAGCUUUCGAUCAAUAUUUUGAUCAAUAUUUUGAUCAAACAUAUCAUAAUCUGUUAAAUGCUCAAAGUGAUCAAGCAGAUGAAAGAAGGACAAGAAAAAAACGAGUUUUUAUCGAACGAAACCGUGAAGAAGGCCAUCUCCGGUUAUGGAACGACUAUUUCAGUGACACUCCCACAUAUCCUGAAAAUCUAUUCAGACGACGAUUUAGAAUGAAGAAACCAUUGUUCAUUCAUAUUGUAGAUCGCCUCUCCAAUGAAGUUCAAUUCUUUCGUCUAAAGCAAGACGUUACCGGAAGACUUGGUCUCUCUGCACUUCAAAAAUGUACAACAGCUAUUCGGGUGUUGGCAUAUGGUUCUGCGCUUGAUGCGGUCGACGAAUACCUCCGGCUCGGUACAACCACUGCUCGGUUAUGUGUGGAAAAUUUUGUGGAAGCAAUAAUAGAUUUGUUCGGCGAUGAGUACCUACGAAGACCAACACCGGCUGAUCUUCAACGUCUACUUCAUAUUGGAGAGCUUCGUGGAUUUCCUGGGAUGGUAGGAAGCAUCGAUUGUAUGUAUUGGGAGUGGAAGAAUUGUCCCACCGCUUGGAAAGGCCAAUAUUCUCGUGGUUCGGGAAAACCCACCAUCGUUUUAGAGGCGGUUGCAUCAUAUGAUCUCUGGAUUUGACAUGCGUUUUUUGGACCUCCAGGUACCUUAAAUGAUAUUAAUGUUCUUGAUCGCUCACCUGUUUUUGAUGACAUAAUAUAUGGUCGAGCCCCGCAAGUGAAUUUCUCGGUCAACGGAACAGAGUACCAUUUGGCUUACUAUCUCACCGAUGGUAUUUAUCCAAAAUGGGCAACUUUUAUCCAAUCUAUUCCAAUUCCCCAAGGGCCGAAAGCAGUUUUAUUUGCGCAACGUCAAGAAGCUGUCCGAAAAGAUGUCGAGCGUGCUUUCGGAGUUUUGCAAGCUCGAUUUGCCAUUGUCAAAAAUCCUGCCCUUUCUUGGGAUAAAGUCAAGAUUGGAAAGAUUAUGAGAGCAUGUAUCAUACUUCAUAAUAUGAUAGUAGAAAACGAAAGAGAUGAAUACUCUCAAUAUGAUGUUUCGGAUUUCCAACAAGGAGAAGGCAGCAGAAGUUCACACGUCGAUCUCAACUAUUCCACAGAUAUCCCAACAAAUAUCGCCAAUCAGAUGGGUGUUCGAACAAGAAUUCGUGAUAGACAAGCACAUCAACAACUGAAAGGUGAUUUGGUUGAACAUAUAUGGCGUAAAUUUGGACGUGAUCAAGACAACAACUGAGCUUCUAUGAUUCUUUCAAAUUAUUAUCGUUUAUUUUCCUACUAUUUGUUCUCAUGUUUUCAUGUUUCUAUUUCAAAAUCUUUGUUUAAAAUGUUAUGUUUGACUUUGUUUUAUUUAAUAAAUAAAUUAAAUUUUUGUUUAAAAGUUUAUGUUUAAAAAAAAAUUAAUCUUUUUUAAUUGUUAAGUACUUUAAUUAAGAGACCACCAAUAAACCACUAUAAUUAAGUGUCUCUUAACAAAAUCCAUUAUCUUAAUUUUAAUAGUUAAAAAAUCAUCAAGGGACACUUAAGGGUUUAACUAAUGAACAUGCUCUCAGUACAUAGUUAGCAAGAGGUAGUAUUAUUGAGUUUUUUAGCUCCUAAACAUGUAAUUCUAAUGUAAAAAGCUCAAAAUGGUUCCAUAAUGUUGUUGUUGUAUCUUUCCUUGAGCCAAGUUUACCCGACUCUCCAGCUCAAAUCCAUCAAGUGAUUCAAGCGUGGUUUCCAUAUAAAAGCCACAACCCUGUGAUUUCCCUGUAUCUCUGUCAUAUAAUAAAACUCUAGCACUAACCAAUUUCCACACUCUCUAAACGCAUCAGCUGAUGACUCGGAAGUGGCUCUCCUCGAACAAACAGCUUGUACUAUGUUUCUGGAUACAGAGGUUCUUUGUCAGGUUUUGGUUUGUCUGCAUAGUUCACCUUCAAAGUCCAACCAAGAUACUCCUGAAAAGGAUACAUACAACAAUUCAAACAGAAACAUUACAUUUUUUUUUUUCAAGGCUUCAAACCUUUUAACUCUCACUUAUAGUUCCAUCGAGGUGUUAGAUAAUGAUACUGCAAUCUUCGACAUUGCUCAUUGUUACAAAAGCGAAUCCACGACUUUGUCAUGUGUCUCUGUUGUAAGGAACCUCGAGAAGCUCUCAGGGUUGGCGAAAUCUUGGAUGAUCUGAGCGAGAGUUGCACUGUAAGGCAGGUUCCCAAAGUAGAACUUAGUGUUAAUUGUCGCAGGAGAUUAAUACAAAAGGCGUAGCUUAAAUAACAUACAGAAGGAACGCUCCUUGGUCGCCACGCGUCGCAUCGCAAUUGGAGAGACAAUCGGUGUCGCUUGCGUUUCCUCUCUCUCCUUCUUCUUUUUCAUUCUUUCGUGUUCUCUUUUCCUCUCCGGCGAUAUGACGAUUUUUCUCCUUUCCGGUGGAUCUUCUCAACGAGACGGUGUAUGUGUGGGUGGGUCAUGUCGACGCUGGAAGACGGUGUCAUGUCUAUCUGUUGCUCUCGUCGGGGUAGAAAAACGGCGAGAUCUCUCUGUCAUGGUGGCUGUCCGAGAUGAAGGAAAACAAUUAUUGUUGCUUCGCCGGCGAAUCGGAAGGUAAAGAAGCAUGAUGCAUGUCUUUGAUUGUGUUCCUUGAUACUGUAUCUUAAGAAGUAGAAUCAUGUUUGAAUAAUUCAAUUAAGCUUGUCUUUCAUUGCGUUUCUUGAUCGAUAAUAAGAAGCAUGAUGCAUGUCUUUGAUUGUGUUCCUUCAUCGUUAAUCUGAAGAAGUAGAAUCAAGUUUGAAUAUUUCAAUUAUGCUUGUCUUUCAUUGUGUUUCGUCAUCGGUAUUUAAGAAGUUGAAUCCUUUGAUUUGUGUUGUUUUUUUCUGUGUUUUUGUCUUGAGAUGUCUGAGGAGAAUGAGAUGGAUAGAAGAAGAAGAAGCAUGAUCCAGGUUCGUCGGACAAAACCCCCGCGAUUCCUCAUACAGGUAAAACCUUUACUCUGUGGAAUUGGAUAAAGCAUAGCAUAGAUAUGAUCUUUCUGGUGGUUUGUGAUUAAUGUUGUGUUUGAUGUUGGUGGUUAUCCUCGUUUGAAAUGAAUUGAAUGGUGGGUUAGCGUUUGGUUAGGUAAUAAAUAGAGGUUUAGGUGGUUAGAUAGAAAUGAGAUUUUGGUUGUCUUGGGUAAUAAAUACAACCUUGUGUGAUAUGAAAAGUCUUGUGUGAUGAAUGGGUUGGAUAAACGUCUUCUCGGUUUGGUUGGAUGUGAUCAAUGCGAUUC
rnacentral:lncRNA from 1 species